rnacentral:rRNA from 1 species
AGAGUUUGAUCAUGGCUCAGGACGAACGCUGGCGGCGUGCCUAACACAUGCAAGUCGUACGGGCUUGGGGGGCAACUCUCAAGUCAGUGGCGAACGGGUGCGUAACACGUGAGCAACUUACCCUACGGUGGGGGAUAGCCGGCCCAACGGCCGGGUAAUACCGCAUAUGGCAUCGAGGUCACAUGGCCUUGAUGGGAAAGCGGCCGCAAGGUCGCGCCAGAGGAGGGGCUCGCGGCGUAUCAGCUAGUUGGCGGGGUAACGGCCCACCAAGGCUACGACGCGUAGCUGGUCUGAGAGGAUGGCCAGCCACAUUGGGACUGAGAUACGGCCCAGACUCCUACGGGAGGCAGCAGUGGGGAAUAUUGCGCAAUGGCCGAAAGGCUGACGCAGCGACGCCGCGUGUGGGAUGAAGGCCUUCGGGUUGUAAACCACUGUCGGGGGGGGCGAAUACUCGGCUUCGAAUAGGAGACCGAGGGUGACGGUACCCCCAAAGGAAGCACCGGCUAACUCCGUGCCAGCAGCCGCGGUAAUACGGAGGGUGCGAGCGUUGUCCGGAAUCACUGGGCGUAAAGGGCGCGUAGGCGGCCGUGUAAGUCACUUGUGAAAUCCCGGGGCUCAACUCCGGGGCUGCAGGUGAGACUGCGUGGCUAGAGCACGGUAGAGGCGAGUGGAAUUCCCGGUGUAGCGGUGGAAUGCGUAGAUAUCGGGAAGAACACCGGUGGCGAAAGGCGGCUCGCUGGGCCGUUGCUGACGCUGAGGCGCGAAAGCGUGGGGAGCAAACAGGAUUAGAUACCCUGGUAGUCUACGCCGUAAACGAUGGGUACUAGGCGUCGGGGGGAGCGACCCCCUCGGUGCCGUCGCUAACGCAGUAAGUACCCCGCCUGGGGGAGUACGGUCGCAAGACUGAAACUCAAAGGAAUU